UACGUAGGCAGCGAGCGUUGUUCGGAGUUACUGGGCGUAAAGGGUGUGUAGGCGGCUGUUUAAGUUUGGUGUGAAAUCUCCCGGCUCAACUGGGAGGGUGCGCCGAAUACUGAAUGACUUCGAGUGCGGGAGAGGAAAGUGGAAUUCCUGGUGUAGCGGUGAAAUGCGUAGAUAUCAGGAGGAACACCGGUGGUGUAGACGGCUUUCUGGACCGUAACUGACGCUGAGACACGAAAGCGUGGGUAGCAAACAGG
rnacentral:rRNA from 1 species